CCUAUCUCCACCUCCUCGUGGUGUCAGCCGGAAUGUGCAGUAUUAGUACUGCAUAUACCAACAGAGAGGGUCAGUGACGUUAGUGGAUACCUAACGUCACUGAGGGUGUUUGAAUGUUCACCGUGCCCGUUGACCGUAUCGAUCCAUCGACAGGUUGAGUCAUGCAUCUUGUCGACACAAAUUGCAUGAAUUAAAUGGCGUCUAUGACAUUCAUUAACCAAAUCAAGUAUCCCAAGCUUACCAAAUGGAAUCUAAUCUUAACCUUCAGCAAAAGUUCGAGCAGGUUCGAUGUGAACUGGAGCUCGAGGCACACAUAUCAGACUUGAAGACUCGCUCUUGAUGCACGGUGGCCCCCAUACUACGCGGGACUGACUAUCCUGCUAUGGGCUAUAUAAAAUUAAUUAUGUUUUUGGGGGAAUCAUUAAAAUAAACCAUUUUAGAAGCUAAUAAGAAGUCAUUAUAAAAACGAGAAAAAAAUAGAAAAACGCAUAAAAUUCAUUGAAAAAAAACAACACAACUUAGUAUAACACCGAUGGAUCGGAAGGACGUACACUGCAGCAGUUUGCUCGAAAUUGUAAAAUCACAGUGCUUACAAUUUCGAGGCCGCUGGUGGAAAACCUCAUCAACUAACAUCGAUCGAUCCAAUAUUUCGUUCUGCGCACAAAAUGGCUCCACAGUUUUCUGCCCCUCUUGAGUAUGUGUCUCAAGCCCUGGUUUGAAUGCUGGCAACUGCCAAGAACGUAUAUUUACAUUUUUUUUUAGUAGUAUUUGCGCAUAUUGAUUAGCACGCAAGCAGUUUUGCAUAUUAUAGAGUGCUUUAGUAUUUUAUCGUUUUAUUUCUGUACUUCAUUAUUUGAAUUAGCGGUCUUAGUUAAGAACAAGAAAACUACUAAUUAGAUUUCUAUAUUAGUGUCAUAAGGCGUACAAUUUCUGAUUUUUCAUGUUAUUCUCAUUUUGCAGCAUUAUUUUCUUAUCAAGUGUGUUUCUAGUUUUAAAAAGCUGUUAUAUGUAAGGCUUCAAAGUAUGUUUGUAGUUAACUUUAAAGUAUGUAAAGUAUGUAUGUAGUUUUUAAAAGCUGUCAAUGUGCAACUGCAUGUUAUCGACAAUAACACCAGUCCUCCAUGCACAUGGCAAUACCACCCAGCCAUUAGUUGCAUCAAAAUAAUAAACUCUCGAAGUGCCUACCUGUUUA